rnacentral:lncRNA from 1 species
AUCCGGGCCACAAGCCUAUUGGCUGGUGCAGCCACGUCCGGGGCGGGUCCUUGAACCUCAGUUUGCUGGCCCACACGUCAGUCAUAGACACACCCAGAGCCGUGCUUUACUAAUCGGCUAGUUGUCUAUGAUCCAUUCAAAUUCAUGGGUUGCCAGGAAGGAUCACAGACUGUUCCUCCCCUCGUCUCAAAGACGGGCAAACUGAUGUCACACAGCUUUGGAAGCCACGCUCUGGACACCCGGAGCACGAGCCGCCCCUGAGCCAGCAGUCAGGAAAGCACAGCCGACUCUCCCCUCCCAGCACGGGGCUCGCGCCGCCUCCUAGGCCCACUCGGGUUGGCCCUCAACUGUGCACCAAGGUCCCGCCGCCCACACCCUCCUGCUUUUUCACUGCCGCAAAAAGCGGGAAUCUCGUCCCACUCCCCAAGAUUCAGAUUUCUCUCUUCCUCCCACCCACCUUCGGAGCGUCAGAGCGCAAGCCCUCAGCUAUAAAGCAGCUGUUGGGCGGAGCAAGACCCGGAACUUCCGUUAGGAAGAUGGCGGUUGUGGGCGGGACUAAAUGGACGCAAGCAAAAAGCGAAACGCUUUUUCCGGUUCUAUGUCCCGUCAUUGAGAGGUUAGACAGCGUUUCCCACAGCUCUCUGCGUGACCUGCUAGACCUAAAGUCGUGGUUGUUUAAUAGGGUGUCCCCCUGGUGGCCAGGAGUCCCGGGUCUGAUGGUUUGGGAUGGUCCCCAAUCGCGUAACAUCGAUGGGGAAUGCUAUAUGUAUGUAUAAAACUCAGAGGUCUAAAGGUCUUUCCUUCUUAACCAAAUGCUGUACACUAAACCAUAUCUCCAAAGCCAUUCUUCUUAUUAUUAUUAAUUUCUUUACUUAUAUGGACAGUGUCUCGUUACACUGCCCAGGAUGACCUAAAAUUUGUGAUGCCCCUUCCUCAGCCACCUGAAUGGAAUGGCUGGGAUAACAGGCGUGGGCCUGCACAUUUAAAAGUAUUGUGGUUAUAAAACCCACCUUCAUUGUGUACACCUGCAUUCUAGGACAUGAAAAGUCAGGUCUGUUUUAAACUUGUUAACAAGCAGUUCAUAUGCUAAGUUUCUUCAAACCCAUUUAAUGGGGGUGGUGGCACUCACCUAUAACACAGAUAAUACUGGUGAGGCUGAGCAGGAUCACAAAUCAAAGCCAACCUGGGCAAAUUAGUGAGACAAUAUCUGAAAAUCAAAAAUAGGGCUGUGGGUGAAGCUGAGUGCUAAGGUUCUGGGUUCCAUUCCCAAUCACCGCCAGUAUAAUAAAUAAAAUUAAAAGAUAUAAAGAGCUGAAUAUGGUAGCUCUGCAGUGAUAGUGGUAGAGCCCUUGCCAACACAAGUCAGGCCCUGGGUUCAAACCCCAGUAAGAGAGCAAGAGAAAAUAAUGGUUGUCACUCAUUAAUUUGUGGACCUUUGGGUGGCUGUAAUAAUCAACUGGAAAACUGCUGUGAUGUAGAUAGUGGAAUAAAACAGGAUCUUAAGGAGAUGCAGUCUUAGGUUCUUUCUCAUUGUUGGGACAAAAUACCCAGUGCCUACAAGUUAAAGAAGAUCCCUGGGGAUUUAGCUCAGUGGUGCCACCACCUGCCUCGAAAGUGCAAGGUCACAAGUUCAAUCCCUGGUACCAAAAAAUAAAUAAGUAAAAAUAAAGCAGAUGAGGUUUAUUUUAGCUGACAAUUUGUAGAGGUUUCAGGCCAUAUUUGCCUGGCUCCAAGGUAGAGAGGCGUAACAGAGGAGGAGUUUAUGGCAAGGUGGGUAGGAAGCAAUAGCCAUCAAAGGAGGGAGAAUAUACCUACACCCUUCCAGGCCACACACACUGUGACCCACCUCUUUCUACCAGGCUUCACCUCCCAACACCACACCCAGUUGUGAAUUUAUCAGUGGCCUAAUUCGUUAUCACACACCCAAGGAUGCAGUCACCUACCAAAGCCCCACCUAUGAGUACAUGAAAUUUGGGGCAGGGGGAGAGUCAUCUAGAUAUAAGUCUUAAUAGGUGCCUCCCAUAAUCCCUGUGCCAAGUCACUCCCCAAUUUCUCAUUGUAGUACUGUUGUAUAUAAAUUUUUCUUAUUCAUUCAUCUGUUGAUGGACAUAUGGCCACCUCCAAGAUUCAGUUAGCUGAAUUGAGCUGCCAUAAGCACAGGUAUGCGUAGAUCACUGUAAUAUGAUGGCUUUAGCUGUUUUGGGAAGGUACCUAGAAAGGGACUAUUUUAGUGGAAUGAGCUGCACACCAGGCUCUUAGUACAAAUUUUGUGCGCCCUCUGUCGAGUCCAAGAGGCAGCACAAGAUGCUGAAUGCUGUAUUUGGGUUGGCGGGCAGCCCCCUGUGCAAUUUCACAGAAACCCUGAAAAUCAGUUUAAUGGUAUUUAUCUACAUUUACCCCAAAGCCUUAUGAGCUCAUAGAUGGGGUUUGUGGGCGGGGUGACUGGCUUAUUAGUGAAAGAUACUGGACUAGUUCACUGAUGGGUUUAUAUUGGGCUGGGGAUUUAGCUCAGUGGUUCUGCCGCCGCCGCCUGCCUUGCAAGUGCAAAGACCCAAGUUCGAUCCCCGGUACCAAAAAAAAUAAAAAAUAAAAAAAGAUGAUGGGUUUAUAGCUGGGUGUGAUGUUGGGAAGUGAAGCUGGGUAGGAAGAGGGUGGGUACUGGGGCAUGGCCUAGAGGGUAUAUAUGCAUAUCCCUCCUGCCCUAAUAGCUGUCAAUCAGGACGCAAAGGAUAGCCAGAUAGCAGGAAUGUAAUUUUGCUGAGGAGUAGAGGGCUAAAGCUCUCACAGGCAAACAGCAGCCAACUCUCACUAACCUCGUUUUUAUUAGAUAUGUGCACAAUACUUCCAUGAGAAUAAACAGUUAGUUCCUUACAGAUUAGCUCUAGCAAAGCAUUAGAAAAUAUUUUUUAUGAACACCUGGUUCUAGUUAUUCAUAUACUUUCUCAAAGAGACUGUUCCCAGAAUGUUAUCAGAUGGUUCUCAAGACUGUUUGCAGCGUUGAACAUGUGAGUUGUGGCUCCGUGUGUGGAACCACAACUGCAGUUCCUAUUCCAAUCUGUGUCCCAAUGUAACCUUCUCUACACUUCCUGCCUACAGUGCCCCUCUGCCAUACUUCCCUGCCUUGGAACCAGCCAACUAAAGACUGAUGCCUGUACAACUGUGAGCUACAAUAAACCUUUUCUCCUUUAAAUUGUGGGUGGUGGGUAUUGCCGGGGUCCAGCCUUGGCAAGAGUUCAGGUCUUGAGGAGGAGGGUUGGAGUCAGCACUUGUGAAGGAAUAAGACACACUCUGUGGGUAUGAGGUGGUGUGCCUUCCAAACAUUGGAGGACUUCAUUUAUAUCAUAGUAAGGUUACAUAUGGAAAUUAGCAUACAUCUAUAAUUUCUGAUAAAAACUUUUACGAUCAUUUUUCCAAUAAACUACAGCACAUACCUAUUUUAUUAUUGUUAUUUCUAGGAACAUUUUAUCUAUUGCUUCAGCUAUUAUUAAUCAAACAAUUUCCUAGUAAAAGCAUAAAUGAAAGCAAAAUCAAAAGAACAAUCCAAGCUUGCCAGCAUUUUUCAAAGUUCAUACGUCUGUUCGGCUACAUUGGGAAGAUUGCAGCCAACUCUUAGCAGGUCACUAGGUUUUGAUAAAGAACUACUGUGGUUAUUCAACUUCUUGGUUAAACUUUUAUUUUAUAUAGUUAGAAAGCAAGUAUUUUGCACUUACUAACCUUUCUAUAACAACUAUUCAGCUGCCUGGCAAUAGUAUUUACUUGUUCUUUAGUGCGUAGACAUCACUGUGUUCCUGAACAUUUCAUUCUUUCUACAAAGGGAAAAUCUUGAUAUCUUACUCAUUUUUCAUCUUUCCACACCAUUCUAACUUCAUCUAUGUAAGCACUAGUGUAGAAAACAAGGGGGGGGUUGCCUAGUGGCCAUGAGAUCACUCUACCACAAAUCUUUGAGCACCUCUCUGGGAUUUUUAUAAUUGGACACUUGGAAGAAAGCUGGGGGUCUCUUGUGAAAUCCUCAAUUAUUGAAACCCCUUCAAAGAAAGGAUCAAGGGUCGCACUUAGGGGUUCAAUGACUGACACAACUGACACAUAUUUCUCAUAAGUAGCUUGUACAGGUUUUUUCAUUAGAACCAAAUUUCCCAUAAUUACAAUUAAGCCAAUCAAAAGUGCAAGCAAAAAUGAAAGCUGGAGUGAUGCUUUCAAACAGAGGCCCGUCAUUGCUGGAACUUUGUCAAUCAGCAAUAGAGGAACCGUGGGCCUCACAAGGGUAUUAUGUCGAGCAAGGAGAAAAUAGCUAAGACAUCACCAUGACCUGCACUAGGUGACUUGAGUAGCCCAGCCAGGGCACAUCUGUGCAGUUGAAUAGCUUCCUAGCAGACCAAGGGGAGAACUAGCGCCUGGACAAAGAAUGGGUGAAGCUUGCACACAUGCUGCUGAAUGCAAGAGGCCAGUCUGGGAGGAUGACACGGAGGAAAAGUAGUAAGUAUGAUGUACAUGUGUGUCAUGUGUCAUUACAUGUACGUGUAACAACCCCUAUGAUCGUUAUAUACUGCAAAUGUGUACUAAUAAAAGCUGAAGUUUAAAGAAAAAAGGGUGAGAGAGAGGGAGAGGGAAAGGGGGGAGGAUGCGUCCUGGAAAACUGAGAGACAGAUGUAAAUGUUGUCAGAAGGGUGGGGAUAAUGAAUGUGAGGCUGGGGAUUGAGCUCAGUGGUGCCAUGCCUGCCUGGCAAGCACAACGUCCCGAGUUUGAUUCCUGGUUAAAAUAAAAAGCAACUGUGAAUGUCAUGGUUUCUUAAGGACUGAUGAAAUGUCCUAACACUGCCUGUGUAGAUGGUUGUACAAAUGUAUGACUAUCAGUUACAUGGUAUGUGAAAUAUUCAAUAUUUUUGUAUGCUUUGUUUUAUUUUGUUUUUUGAGACAGGGUCUCACUGCAUAGUUGAGAUUGACCUGAAAUUCACCACGUAGCCCAGGUUGGUCUUGAACUCACAGUGAUCCUCCUGCCUCAGCCUCCUGAGUGCUGGGAUUACAGGUGUGCGGCACCA